rnacentral:tRNA from 1 species
GCGCUGGUGGUUCAGUGGUAGAAUUCUCACCUUUCAUGUGGGAGGCUUAGGUUCAUUUCCUAGCUGAUGCC